GCGGGAUUAGUUUAAUGGCAGAAUAGGAGUUUUCCAAACUUCUGGCACCGGUCCGAUUCCGGUAUCCCGCACAA
rnacentral:tRNA from 1 species